rnacentral:tRNA from 1 species
GGCCACGUACCCAAGUGGUUAAGGGAGAGGUCUGCAAAACCUUUAUCACCGGUUCGAAUCCGGUCGUGGCCUCCA